rnacentral:rRNA from 1 species
AUGAUGUUACAGCAAUCCCUGAUUAGUUUCUUGCAUAUUUGUGGACGCAUUAGUGUCUCCAUUUUAAAAUUGUAUUUUUGUUUAUUAUGCAGGGUAUGGGCUAGAAUUACCCUCUGCUGCAUUAGUAAUUGGAUGGUGUUGCUUUCGCUUCAUUUAGUAAAAGUUACAACUCAGAUUAAACUGGUGUUAUAUCAUUCAAUCAUUAAGGAUGUAAAAAAUGAAGAUGUAGAAGCUACUUUCAGAUCAAAAUGUUUACAUCCAGGAUGGUUAAAAAAAUUACGUAUGAGUGUUACAUGUUUCUAUCAUACUGGAUGUACAAAAAAAAGAAAGAUUACAUCCAGUUGGGAUACUUGUCAUGACCUGAAAUAA